GAGGGGCAGCGGGGGCGUAGCAAUAUGCCUGCCGGCGACCGGCGCACGGGUGAGUAACACGUAUGUAACCUGCCCUAUGCAGGGGGAUAACCCGGAGAAAUCCGGCCUAAUACCGCGUAACACCUUUGGGGAGCAUUCCCUUGGGGUUAAAGGAGAGAUCCGGCAUAGGAUGGACAUGCGUCGCAUUAGGUAGACGGCGGGGUAACGGCCCACCGUGCCGACGAUGCGUAGGGGUUCUGAGAGGAAGGCCCCCCACACUGGUACUGAGACACGGACCAGACUCCUACGGGAGGCAGCAGUGAGGAAUAUUGGUCAAUGGCCGAGAGGCUGAACCAGCCAAGUCGCGUGAGGGAAGAAUGUCCUAAGGAUUGUAAACCUCUUUUGUCGGGGAGCAAAAAGGCUCUGCGGAGUCGUAUUGAGAGUACCCGAAGAAAAAGCAUCGGCUAACUCCGUGCCAGCAGCCGCGGUAAUACGGAGGAUGCGAGCGUUAUCCGGAUUUAUUGGGUUUAAAGGGUGCGCAGGCGGCGUGUCAAGCAAGCGGUAAAAUAGCGGGGCUCAACCCCGUCGAGCCGUUUGAACUGGCGCGCUUGAGUUCAGGC
rnacentral:rRNA from 1 species